rnacentral:rRNA from 1 species
GACGAACGCUGGCGGCGCGCUUAACACAUGCAAGUCGAACGGAAAGGCCUGCUUUCCCUUGUGGAUUGCGGGUACUCGAGUGGCGAACGGGUGAGUAACACGUGAGUGAUCUGCCCCCAACUUGGGUAUAAGCCUGGGAAACUGGGUCUAAUUCCCGAUAGGACUGCAGGGUGGUGCCUGUGGUGGAAAACGAUUUUCUAGUGGUUGGGGAUGAGCUCGCGGCCUAUCAGCUUGUUGGUGGGGUAAUGGCCUACCAAGGCGGCGACGGGUAGCCGGCCUGAGAGGGUGGACGGCCACAUUGGGACUGAGAUACGGCCCAGACUCCUACGGGAGGCAGCAGUGGGGAAUAUUGCACAAUGGGCGGAAGCCUGAUGCAGCGACGCCGCGUGGGGGAUGACGGCCUUCGGGUUGUAAACUCCUUUCGACCGCGAGGAAACCACCUGGUUGGAAGGGUGGUGACGGUAGUGGUAGAAGAAGCACCGGCUAACUACGUG